CCCGGCGGCCGUAAAGCGCGGUGGUCCACCUGACCCCACAUGCCGAACUCAGAAGUGAAAACCGUGCUGCCGAUGGUAGUGGGGUCUCCCCAUGCGAGAGUAGGGAACUGCCGUGC
rnacentral:rRNA from 1 species